GCGGCAUUGACAAACUUCGAGACCAAUGACGUCUAUAUCCGGUUUACUUAUUCUUUCAUACAAUAGUUAUCUUCCCGAGAAUCGAAAGAAGAAUGUUGUCUAUUAUUAGAGCAGUAUCUUCGCGCUUUAAUAUCUUAUGAGUUUCGCGCUUUCUGAACGCUAGGCUAGAAGUAGAGAGAAGGACUUCGUUUACCACUACCAGCGUUCUUAUUAGGCCUAUAGGCCUAUUUUUAUCUACAAACAGUUGUCUUUUAUUUCUCAGCAUAGGAGACUUUCUGGUCUGGUUUUGAUAACCAAUUGGUUUCAAAGAUAUUUAGUCUAUUUAUUCCAGUAUUUGGUAAAUAUUUAGGAAAUUAAGACAGGAUUGAGAAGUCAUGUCAAGAUAAUUUUAAAGCUUGCUAUCAAACCCAAUGGUCUAUCCAAGAUGAUGGCUGGCCUAAUGAGAGUGACAGUGUUGAAAAUUACACAAUUAAAACAGAAAAGUGCCUGUUACAAUCUAAAUUCCCAUUAAUUGUUAAAGACUUUGAAAAACAGCAAGACGAAAAAGUAAAACAAAAGUCUUCAGAAAAGCAAAAGAAGCCUCAAAUAAAAAAGGACCCUCAUCAAAUGACAAUGGAUAAGUUUUUUUCUUCAAGAAAAAGAUUAAACUUUGACAGUAGUAGAACAAGUAAAAAGAAAAAAAGUUAAUGAGACCAAUUGAUCAUGUAAAGAAAUUGUGUAAGACUAAUACUGUGAUAUAACAGGCAACAUUAUUGUGUCUAACUUACACCUCUGACAUAUAGGGCCCUAAAAUUAAAAUUUAUAUUAUUUUAAAAUCAAAAUAACAGAAAUUGGUUCAUUAUUUUAAAAUGUCAAAAAUUGUGAAUCUUUUUCAAAAGUACUUUUUUUAAAGAUAUAUUUAAUGUGUACAGGUCACAAUUCUAUGGAAUACAAUUACUGCUUAUUACUGAGCGACGUUUCGACUAGGCUUCUCUAGUCAUUAUCAAUACAGUAAUUGUAUUCCAUAGAAUUGUGACCUGUAUACUCUAGUUCAAUUACUAAAUGCCAUUGAAACAGUUUAUAUUUAAUGUAAUCUUGGCAGAUUGCGUCAUCCAAAGUAUUUAGUUUAUCAGGUCCGAGUUCACAAAGCAUUCUUAGCCUUAAGUUAAGAAUUUACUCAACUUUCAAUAACUGUUUAUGAGAAAUAUCUUUCAUCCAGAAACACAAA